CUGAUCUGGCUGGCUCAGGACCUGACUCAGCCCUCCUGAAGGUUCUUGUGGCUCUGAGGGAGUUCUCAAAGGUGACUGCUGAGCCGCUUGGAGAGGAUGGGGCCAAAACCUCAAGGAAAAGCUUCUCGAACAAAGGAAGAAAGACAACAGGAGAGAAUGAAGUUGCUGCGAUACACAUCAGAUCCUCCCGUCCUUCAUCCUCUUCCCAUGCAAGGAAUCUGGCCACCCAAGCAAGCCACUGAGGAGGGACAAGACUUUGCAGUAAUGAAGAGCGCCCAGCACGGGAGGCACAUUUGUGCUCCAUUUGGAAUGCGUCUCUCUUGGCACCGGAAGAAAGGGUGACCCCA